CUUUCUCCGGUCGCUGCCGCCACCACCGUUGCUUCGCGGGCUGGGAGGCCCGGGGUUCCCGGGCGAACAGAGGCUGCGGUGGACUGACGCCGCAGGGGCGAGCUAGCCGGCUCCGCGCCUCUCCGCGGGAUCCAGACGCCUCCUGGGGCUGCUGGCGGAGGGUCUGAGGCGGCGCGGCCAUGGCUCACCUCCGGGGAUUUGCCAACCAGCACUCUCGAGUGGACCCUGAGGAGCUCUUCACCAAGCUCGACCGCAUUGGCAAGGGCUCGUUUGGGGAGGUCUACAAGGGCAUCGAUAACCACACGAAGGAGGUGGUGGCCAUCAAGAUCAUCGACCUGGAGGAGGCCGAGGAUGAGAUCGAGGACAUCCAGCAGGAGAUCACUGUCCUCAGCCAGUGCGACAGCCCCUACAUCACCCGCUACUUUGGCUCCUACCUAAAGGUGCCUGUUGUGGGGAGGCGGGGACCCUGCUGGUGCUGUGCCCGGCUCUCUUCCAUGUCAGAGGGACUGAGUGACAUGCCAGAGGGUGCAAGGCGGUCUUGACGGUUCAGUGCAUGCCCUC
rnacentral:sRNA from 1 species